GUGCCAGCAGCCGCGGUAAUACGAAGGGGGCUAGCGUUGUUCGGAAUUACUGGGCGUAAAGCGCACGUAGGCGGACAUUUAAGUCAGGGGUGAAAUCCCAGGGCUCAACCCUGGAACUGCCUUUGAUACUGGGUGUCUUGAGUACGAGAGAGGUGAGUGGAAUUCCGAGUGUAGAGGUGAAAUUCGUAGAUAUUCGGAAGAACACCAGUGGCGAAGGCGGCUCACUGGCUCGUAACUGACGCUGAGGUGCGAAGGC
rnacentral:rRNA from 1 species